GACAGGUCCAAGGAUCGCGUGUAAGAGAAGUUCGACGAGAACCAGGGGGACCACAAGGAUAAAACGGCUGAUACUUGUAAAUAAUUGAUGAAAAGAAGAAUAAGUACAAUAUGUAGUGUAUUGAUUCCUAUCGAUUGCGAAUGACUUCAUUUAUGCCAUGCACAUAAUCAGCAUUCCUAAUUAGAAUAAGACUGCCAUUUUCAAAUAAACAAGUUUCCUCCAGAUGAAUGAAUUUCACAUUUUGUUAAAAUAUUCUCUGUAUUCACCAUAAAAUUGUACUCAACUUAUUAUAUUUUUCUGUUUAUCAAUAAGAAUUUUCCUUUUAUUAACUGUUCUGAACUUGUUAUCAAUUAAGUUUCUGUAAUGUUGACGUUGAUUGAUUAAAAUCCAGAUGCUUUCUGGUCAAAUUUCAUCCAGACUGAUGUAUUGGUUGCUUUUGGUAACAAUCAAAUCAUUCAAUGAUUCUUUGAAGGUGAAAUCGUAUUGCACGGGUUUUCUUCCACUAAUAAUCCAGGCUGUAAUGACUUGCCUUCUUAUUCUUUCAAAGAGUACUUUGGGAAAUACACUAAUUAAUGUGCGUUUGAAAUCGAUACAACUUUUUAGUUUCAAAAUUUCUUGGAUCAAAACCAAUAACACAAACAAAAUGAACAAUCUAACCACAGACUAACCAGACAAUUCACCCUGCCGUUUUUAGGCACGGCGUUUCGUUGACCUUGAGUUUCACUAUGAACUACUGUAGUAAAAAAUGACAAAGAUAACCGAACUUCCCAGUCUUUCUAAAAGGUUCAAAAUGCAUGUGAUUUGUCAGAUUAACCCAUUCAAAUUUUUGAAUUCACCCGACUGCUUAUAUUCAACUCCUAUUCUCUUUGAAUAUUGAAUACCAAGCAAAAUUCAUCAAAGUAUUCAAAAUACCUGUUUUUUUUUAAAACAUUAAAUACGUAUAUUUCUUUGAAUUAAAACAACAAAGGAACUAAAUAUUUUAUUAUUUAUAAUAUAUUUGGAAUUAGUAAAUAUGGAAGCCGGUCAAGGUAAAAAAAGUACGAAGUGUUCUGUUAAAAAUUGUAAUAGUGCAAGAUAUCAAGGGAUUUCUACGAAUUCCAUAAGAUUCUUCAGAUUUCCUAAUCCAGUUUAUAAGGACCGAGUGAUGCUAUGGAAAUUGGCUUGUAGUGAUGACAUAAUAAUGAACAAAGAUGCAAUGCUGUUAAAUUCAAAUAACAGAAUAUGCAGUAUCCACUUUGAUGCAACCUAAUGACAAAUCACCGUUUAUCGAAAAAUGCAAUUCCAACAUUGAAUCUGUUCCGAAAACCAAGAGGAAUAGAUGUUCAAACCCAAACAGAAGAUAAAAUGGGAACCGAAGGAAAACGAGUUGCACAUAUGGAAACUCAAACAACCAAAGAAUUAUCUCACCAAACACCAAGAAAAAGAAAGUUGAGGCAUCUAAUUGAGUCAAAGGAAAAUGAAAUUCAAGACAUUCAACCUCGAACAGUCUAUUCAGGAAAUAGAUCCUUGUAAGACACAACUAUCUAAAGACAAAUUCAAAAAGGCUUGUGAUAUUCAUCUGCCAAAUAGUUUUGGAAAUAUAUCCAAAAUAAUCAGUGAUCUCAAUGAUAAAAAUCUAAAAGGAAGAAGAUAUACCAAGGAAUUUAAACAGCAUGCCCUUUCAUUAUAUUAUUCCGGGCCUAAAAUUUAUAAAAGAAUGGUUGCCAUAUAUAAUUUUCCAUCAGUAUCUACAUUGAGAAGAAUGACAGAGAAUAUUCAGAAAGGAACUGGUUAUUAUUAUUGGAGAUUAUUAUUAUUAUUGGAGAUUGCAUCGACAAAAUGGUUGAAAUAGGACUUGAUGCAAGAGUCCUAGUGUCUGAUUUGGGCUCUAACUUUGUUGCAUUUUCAAAAAAUUUAGCUGUAACUGAUAAAUGUACUAAAUUUGAUAUGAAUGGAAAGGAAUUGUAUCAAAUAAAAAAAAGCAAAUAAACAGGAUUCAUUCAUUAGUGUUGUAUUUCUUAGCAUAUUUAAUGAUUUUUUUUUGACAAAUAUUUCUUUCGAAAACAUACAUAACACAUUCAGGCUCAUCGAAUUUUUCAAUCAAUAUCUAAAUGCACAACAGAUCAACAACUAGAUACUAAACAAAACAACAUAUAUUAAAAAUCAAUUUCUAUUCGAUACUGAUUCAAAUUGGUAUAGAUUUUCAUUGAGCCUGCUACUAGCUCUGAUGAGGAACACUGCACAAUUGAUAAUUAAUUUGAAAUGUUGCAAUCAAAUCAAUGAUAGAGAUUGCAAUAUAUCUAAUGAAAACUAAUAUGGAUUCCUCAUAAUUUUCAGAAAUGAAAAGCACAUACUUAACAUUUCAUUUUA